GGGUUGGGCUGUUCGCCCAUUAAAGCGGUACGCGAGCUGGGUUCAGAACGUCGUGAGACAGUUCGGUCCCUAUCCGUCGCGGGCGCAGGAAAUUUGAGAGGAGCUGUCCUUAGUACGAGAGGACCGGGAUGGACGCACCGCUGGUGUACCAGUUGUUCUGCCAAGGGCAUCGCUGGGUAGCUAUGUGCGGACGGGAUAAGUGCUGAAAGCAUCUAAGCAUGAAGCCCCCCUCAAGAUGAGAUUUCCCAUUCCGCAAGGAAGUAAGAUCCCUGAAAGAUGAUCAGGUUGAUAGGUCUGAGGUGGAAGCGUGGUGACACGUGGAGCUGACAGAUACUAAUAGAUCGAGGACUUAACCUAU
rnacentral:rRNA from 1 species